GUCCUGCAACCUCUGGGGUGGGGCUCACUUUCCUGCAUGCUUCUCUCAGUUCAUACCAAAUAAUAUUGGAUCCCAACCUGAUCAACUCAAUGAGUACCACCCCAGCAUGCUUCAUUUCAGACUGUGUCCAGAGACGUCAGGUGUGGAAUGUCAACCCUUCACCCUCAUGACUCAGGGAGAGACCCCGCAGCUCUGAGUAGUGACUUCUGAAAGCAGAGCCCUUGAAAAGAAAAAAAAGAUGGGCUGGGCCGACAGCAUUAUGAUUCUGCAAGAGACUUUCACGCCUGAGGCUCUAGUUCUCAGGUUCAGUCCCCAUUUCCACAAUCAGCCAGGGUUCAGCAGGGUUCUUGCCUCUCUAUAACUCCUCUGUAUCAGUCUCUCUCUCUGAUUAAAAAUAAAAUAUUUACAAAAGAAGAA